GGAAGAACUAGACUGGCUGAGUCUUCUGGCCUCAAUCUUUCUCCCUCACUGGAUGAUUCAUGCCUUGAACAUCAGUCUCCAAGUUCUUCAGCUUUUUGAAUCUUGGACUUACACCAGUGGUUUUCCAGGGGCUCUGGAGCCUUUGGCCACAGACUGAAGGCUGCACUGUUGGCUUUUCUACUUUUGAGGUUUUGGGACUCAGACUGUCUUCCUUGCUCCUCAGCUUGCAGAUGGCCUAUUGUGGGACUUCACUUUAUGUCUGUGAGAAAAAGGUCCUAAUACACAGAAAGAAACAGAAGGAGAGAUGGAGAUUACAAGAGUUCCAUUAGUUCAUGGCUUCAGUGACCAGGAAUAUCCAUCUUCUUCCUAUUUCUUGCCCCAUCAGUGCAGAAUUCCAAUGGGUCCACAAGUGUGGGCAUGCAACAAGACUCAAAGCAAGUACAAGCUCUUCCGGCAUAGCCCUCUAGGAAUUCCAGCUGAGAGCCUGCCAGUAGCCUACCAGGGCUCCUCCCCUUCCAGAUGCUGACCUCUCAUCUUUGUCACUUCCACAUCACAGACUGUCAAUAACUCCUAUAUGCUUUGGAGAAGAUGUCUACUAACUACUUGGCCUCCAGCCUCCACAUAACUCGAGAAUUUGACAAGUGUCUUGAAAGAAAAACUGAUGAUGGGUCAGGAUCAGUCUUCCCUGCUCAGUAGAUCCUUACCCCUCAAGUCUUUCCACUACUACAAGACACCAAAAGCUUUCCUGGUUUCUCUAUCUCCUCUACCUAGAGAAUACCAGGUUCUCAGACAUUAGCUCUAGGUCCAAAAUCAAGCCGGUUUUUCUUUUGCAGGGAAAAACUGGCCGAAUAGUGUUAACUCACUAGUCUUCCCCUUUCUGGAAUCUUGGCAUUUCUAGUUUUGGUUGCCCUAGCAGCUCUCCAAUGCCUUUAAACAGAUGUCUUCUGCUUCUAUUAGGCUUGUUCUUGGCUGAGGCCUUGGUCUGCUGGAAAAUACUGCCACAUACGCAGAAGUAGAAGUCUCUUGAGACAUCAUCUUAUUAGUUAUUUAUUGCCAUGUAACAAAUUACAUGGAAACUUAGUGACUUAAAGAAACAAUAAAAAUUUAUUAUCUCACAUUUUCUGUGCAUCAGAAUUCUGUGGGAUAGGAGCAGCAUAGCAGAUGGUUCUGGCAAAGAAUCUCUCAUAAGGUUGUAGCCCAAUGUUGCCUCGGGCUUGAGAAUGAGCUUCCAAAAGAGUUCACCCUCAUGACUGCCAAGCAGGUGCUGGCUAUUGUAAGAAAGUCUGUCCGUUUUCACACAGGCCUGUUACGAGUAUUUUCAUGACAUGGCAGGUGACUUCACCACAAUAAGGGAAGCAAGAACAGGAAAAAUGGAAGUGUGCAUGUCUUCUAUGACUGAGCCUUAGAAAUUACACUCUUUCCUUUCUGCAAUAUCCUAUUAGUUACGCAGAUCAGUCUUAUUAAAUGUAGAAGAAGAUACACAGAAAACAAACACCAGGGAACAGAAAUCAUUAUCAGUAAGGCCUAUCUAAAAGAAAAUUAUAUUUAAAAUAAAAUUCUUCAUAUAGAUGGAGAAAUUUAAGAAGUUGUUUUGCUGCAGUAAUGAUCAUUACAAAAUAACUACAAAGUUGUGCUUCUAGUGUUGGUUGCAAUUCUGCUCCUAUCUCAUGCACCUUCUUCAUUCAAGGAUCCAGGCUUGAAUAGCAACCUGCAUCUGGAAUAUGCUAUUCUGGUGACAGAGGGAAAUAAGAGCAAGAACCAUAGCACACAAAGGCCCUCAAUUGUUUACUUAGCUAUGGUAUACAUCACUUCUGCCUACAUUUCAUUGACCAAAGCAAGUCAUAUGGCCAAACCAGAUAACAAUGGAGUAUGAAAGUACAUUUCUCUAAUAGACAGGCACUGCUAGUACCAUGGUAAUCAUAGGGAUAUAUAUCAUAUUUCAGGGAAGUAAAGAAUGAAUAAUUAGGAUCAAUAAUAAAAUCUACCAUGAAUAUCUAGUAUGCACAAAGCAGUCAUAUAAUAAUAAAUUCUAUUUAAAAAGGGCAGCUCAGCUGGGUGCACAUAGCCACAUUUAUAAUUCUGGCUUCAGUCUUGAAAAGAAGAAAACUGUCAAACCAUUUCUACUUUUCGAGGCUUUUAAUUGUUUUCUCAUUUUUAGUCAUGUUUCAGUGAAAUACUUUGGAUAAUAUCAUGAUUACCAAAUCAGUAACUUCAUUUUUUAUUCUACUUUAAAAUUACAUUUAUUCUACUUUAUAAAUGAAGUAUGAAUCUGAUCCAAUUGUAUUCAAAUGACAUUCUAAAAAAAGUAUAUAGAAAAACAAACUGAGAACAAUCUAAGAAUGUUUUAUAAACUAUCUGGAAAGAUUGUUAGGUAUCAAUUGUGGAAAAAGAUUAGAAUCAAAUCUUAAAAUUUUUUACUUAGUAUUUUUCUAAUAAUUCAACAUUACUAAAAAUUAAAUUGAUACUAUAAUAAUUAAUGACCUUUAGUCCUGACAUGUAGAAUGUGUCCAUUCUCUGAGAUAAUACAAUGACAAAAUUAUUAUGCUUAAUACUACACCCAGAAAUAUUAUUUUUAGCAUCCAAACUAGAUUUUUCAUAUUUAUAAUUGUGCAUGGAAACAAUCUGAUAAUCAUAUUUUAAGACCAUAUAUUCUGACAUGGAGUUGCAGAACUGUGAUGAUCAUAAGCCUAUAUGUCUGAAAAGAAUACAUUGUGACUAAGACUUACACUAAACACAAAACAACACUGAUUUCUAGUAUCUUUUGCCAGAUAUACAGCUCUACUGUCCUUGUUUAGGUUUGCUGAUUCAAAUUUCUGUAAGAGUUGGGGUGGUCUUAUGAGGGUAGGAGGAAUUCUAUGCUAACAUUGGAAUGAAGCACAAGAAAAAUUAAAAGUUUUACAACCAUAUGGAAUGCAGUGACUUAUCACUUGAUAAAACAGAAUUUAACUGUUCAAGCCCUCAGCUAUGUAGUUUGGUUCAGCUCUAAUUAAUAAUAUUAAUUCCAUUCAUGUUCUUGGGUUCUAGUUUUCACAGCUUUCAUAAAACUAAUUCUAACUUUUAUACAAUUGAAUGUCCACAUAAGCCAGGCUAGCUAAUAUAUAUUAGUUUGAAAAAUUGCUUUUAUGUGAUACUUCACCCAAAUACUUUUUUUCUAUCUAAUAUCUCUAUCAACCAGGUAAGAAAUUGUUUUCACCAUGCAAUCUGUCAAAAUUACCAAUUUUACAAAAACAUUGGCAUCAAUUUUUCUUUUUCUUUUUCUUUAUUUCUUUUUUUCUGAGAUGGAGUCUGGCUCUGUGCCCAGGCUGGAGUGCAGUGGCGCGAUCUCGGCUCACUGCAAGCUCCGCCUCACGGGUUCACGUCAUUCUCCCGCCUCGGCCUCCC
rnacentral:lncRNA from 10 species